CGCAUCUGUGCAUGCAGCAUAUCAAUAAGCGGAGGAAAAGAAACUAACAAGGAUUCCCCUAGUAACGGCGAGUGAAGCGGGAAGAGCUCAAAUUUGAAAUCUUAAAGGGUUUCCCUUUACGAAUUGUAGUUUAAAGAAGUGUUUUCUGUUGAGGUUUUGGUAAAAGUUCUUUGGAAUAGGACAUCAUAGAGGGUGAGAAUCCCGUAUUUGACCUUUACUUUCAACUUUGUGAUACACUUUCAAAGAGUCGGAUUGUUUGGGAAUGCAGUCCAAAAUGGGUGGUAAAUUUCAUCUAAAGCUAAAUAUUGGCGAGAGACCGAUAGCGAACAAGUACCGUGAGGGAAAGAUGAAAAGAACUUUGAAAAGAGAGUUAAACAGUACGUGAAAUUGUCAAAAGGGAGGCGUUUGACACCAGUGUUGUUUUUCUGAAAAUCAAUUAAAGAACUGUUUAUGCUAAGCUGUUUAGACUUUAUCAGCUAUCUGUUUAGUUUUAGGCUUUUCUUUAAUGCACUUUUCAGUUAACAAGUCAACAUCAAUUUCUUUUGCUGUAAAAAAGCUUGAGGAAGGUGGCUUGAGAUUCGUCUUAAGUGUUUAUAGCCUCUUGCCUAUGCAGUCGGAGAGAUUGAGGUCUGCAGCGUAGAUCCUUCGGGGCUAAAUGCAUUUGUGCUAAGUUAUAAGCAUUUUAUAGACAACUUGUUGACUAUGAUUUGUCUUGUAGCUUACUCGCUUAUGUUAUUUUACCUACGCUUAGGAUGUUGAACGCGCACAGAGUCUC
rnacentral:rRNA from 1 species